rnacentral:tRNA from 1 species
GCCGCGGUAGCUCAGUGGUAGAGCAUACGGCUGAAAACCGUAGGGUCGUCAGUUCGAUCCUGACCCGCGGCA